rnacentral:rRNA from 1 species
CCUACGGGUGGCAGCAGUGGGGAAUAUUGCUCAAUGGGCGAAACCCUGAAGCAGCAACGCCGCGUGGAGGAUGAAGGUUUUAGGAUUGUAAACUCCUUUUGUUAGAGAAGAUAAUGACGGUAUCUAACGAAUAAGCACCGGCUAACUCCGUGCCAGCAGCCGCGGUAAUACGGAGGGUGCAAGCGUUACUCGGAAUCACUGGGCGUAAAGCGCGCGUAGGCGGGAUAGCAAGUCAGAUGUGAAAUCCUAGGGCUUAACCGUAGAACUGCAUUUGAAACUGUUAUUCUAGAGUAUGGGAGAGGUAGGUGGAAUUCGUGGUGUAGGGGUGAAAUCCGUAGAGAUCAAGAGGAAUACUCAUUGCGAAGGCGACCUACUAGAACAUAACUGACGCUGAUGCUCGAAAGCGUGGGGAGCAAACAGGAUUAGAUACCCUUGUAGUC